rnacentral:tRNA from 1 species
UGAGAAUUAGCUCAGUUGGUAGAGCGUCUGACUGUUAAUCAGAAAGUCACAGGUUCGAGUCCUGUAUUCUCAG